rnacentral:rRNA from 1 species
UACGUAGGGUGCAAGCGUUGUCCGGAAUUAUUGGGCGUAAAGAGCUCGUAGGCGGUUUGUCGCGUCGCCUGUGAAAACCUGGGGCUCAACCCCGGGCCUGCAGACGAUACGGGCAGACUAGAAUUCGGUAGGGGAGACUGGAAUUCCUGGUGUAGCGGUGAAAUGCGCAGAUAUCAGGAGGAACACCGGUGGCGAAGGCGGGUCUCUGGGCCGAUAUUGACGCUGAGGAGCGAAAGCGUGGGGAGCGAACAGG